rnacentral:piRNA from 1 species
UGAGUGUGCUUCUGGAACUCAGGGCCGU